rnacentral:rRNA from 1 species
UACGAAGGGGGCUAGCGUUGCUCGGAAUCACUGGGCGUAAAGCGCACGUAGGCGGCUUUCUAAGUCAGGGGUGAAAUCCUGGAGCUCAACUCCAGAACUGCCUUUGAUACUGGAGAGCUUGAGUCCGGGAGAGGUGAGUGGAACUCCGAGUGUAGAGGUGAAAUUCGUAGAUAUCGGGAGGAACACCAGUGGCGAAGGCGGCGAUCUGGGAAGAUACUGACGCUGAGGUGCGAAAGCGUGGGGAGCAAACAGG